CUAAGUACCAGUCAUAUGAUCCCAGCAGCUAUAAUGAAACUCUGGAGCCACACUUUGAAUGAUCUCUUUUCUGACCCUUUACCUCAUCAAGCUGAUCUACACUUGAGUUUUUAUGGAUGCCGCAGUUCUUUAUUACCUACACGAUCCUUCCGCAGCUCUUUGUUAUCUGCAUCAUAAAGGAAAAACCAAGCAAGAACAUUGGUCUGAGGACACAGCUUCUCAGAUACUAUGUUGCUGCAUCACAGGGCCUCUUGGUUCAUUGCUGUAGGACCAGAAGCCAUCAGUUCCCAUGGCGUGACCGUCAACUAACACACAGCAGCAGCAAGCCAGGCCCUAAGCACACACAUUCAUCAGAGCCCUCAGGAACAGCAGUGUACAGCGAUCGAGAAAUUGGUGUUGAAGAGGAAAGAAUUUCUGCCAGGUGAAAACCACAAGCAUGGGUCUUGUUUGACAUAUGUUUGGCAAUAUGUAAUGAGCAUUGAUGUAUGCAGUGCAUUUCCCAGCUCAACUACAAUGCACACUAGAAAAUUCUAGGUGCUACUUUCCCGCAUCCUAUAUGUGCUCUGAGAGGUGCUCCAGAUUACAAAAGUAAAAAUGCUUAGUUUGGAAUUGAUCAAGCUGGCAGUUACCUGCUGUCGUGGCCCAUGAAUCUUCUCCCUUGAUCCCCCUCAGUGGGACAGGGGAGAGAAUUGGAAGCAUAAA